rnacentral:rRNA from 1 species
AGCGAACGCUGGCGGCAGGCCUAAAACAUGCAAGUCGAACGUCGUAGCAAUACGGAGUGGCAGACGGGUGAGUAACACGUGGGAACGUGCCUUUUGGUUCGGAACAACCCAGGGAAACUUGGGCUAAUACCGGAUAAGCCCUUCGGGGAAGAUUUAUCGCCAGAAGAUCGGCCCGCGUCUGAUUAGCUAGUUGGUGGGGUAACGGCCCACCAAGGCUACGAUCAGUAGCUGGUCUGAGAGGAUGAUCAGCCACACUGGGACUGAGACACGGCCAGACUCCUACGGGAGGCAGCAGUUAGGAAUCUUGGACAAUGGGCGCAAGCCUGAUCCAGCCAUGCCGCGUGAGUGAUGAAGGCCUUAGGGUUGUAAAGUCUCUUUCAGCGGGGAAG